ensembl:lncRNA
GAUUCUUCUGUCGCUGUUCUUGAAGAUCGAAGCAGGAGCAAGGAGUUUAAGUAAGAAUCUCAGGCUGGCUUGGAAGCUGACGCAAUGGAGAUGGCUUACGCACCUGAACUGUGUUGCCACACAGGAAAUGAAACCAUCUAAGGAUCUAAACAAGAACCACCAAAGGCUCAGCACUCGCUACAGUGUUGCUUAUGCUACAAUGAGGUGUUAAGCCCACUUGUAGAUAGGAAAUUAAGUCACCCAGGCCCGUGAGAAGUAUCAGAUCCCUCAUAUUCAUUGAGAGCCUCAAUCCUUUCUUUCAACCUCCCUCUUGUUUUCACUCAAUUUAGGAGAGCUGGGGACCGAACCCAGGGCCUUGUGCUUCCUAGAGACUUCCGGGCCCCUGGCUGCUGUAGGACAAGCCCCCCAAGAAACAGUGACUCCCCACAAUCUACAGCUGCCAAAAUUGUUGCCCUAGUCUCACAGAACUGCCCUGGGCACAAACUGACCAGCAAUGGCCUUUCGAGGAAGCGAAGAUGCUUGUGAUAAAUUCUCUUCCAGACAGUUGGACAUCUGCUCUCCUUAGAGGGACGACUUCUAUGGUAGAAGCAUCUACUGUCUACUUGCUGCCCUGAGGACUGCUGUCAGAAUAAAACCCACAGGGGCAGUUAAGGCUUUGUGUGAGAGAAUAUGGAUUCUAGAAGCUUCCUUGAGACGUAUGAAUGUUCUCAGGGGGAGAGGAGGAGGGAUACUUUGUACCUGCUAGCGAUUCCUUUCAAACUUGCUCCCUUCUGUUCCCUGAGGCCUCCCUGUUAUUAUGAUUUUUUAGUCAUUUAUUUUUGUGUUUCACUUAAACCUCUUGUUCGUCGUUGAUGUGCAGACUUUGGGUCUGGUUAAUUUUAGUCCAUGAUGUUCUUUAUUCCCAGGUUUUUUUUUUAUAAUAAAGUUUAUUUUAAAAAUCAACUUUGCGUGGGCAGGAGAGAUGGUGAAAUGCUUUAAAAGCAGUUGUCCUUCAUGCAGAAGACACAGGUUCGUUUACCAGAACCCAUUUAAUGGCUCACAACCGUCCAUAACGCCAGUUCCAGGGGAAUCCAAAGUCUUCUGGCCUCCAGGGCACUGCAUGCAUGAGGUACCCAGCCAUACAUGCACACAAAAACCGACUUUGAAAUGACUUCUUUUUCUUAUUUCUUCUGAUUUCUCAGCAACAUUUGCUUUAGGAAAAAAAAUUUUUUUAAAGGUGAAGCAAAUAUACAAAACAGAGAAGAAAACCAUCAAUCAGCCCCAAGCAAAAUUAACCUUUUGGCCUUUUUCCUUCCGGUUAUUUCCUGUGUGCGUUUCUUCAGCUUUCCAUGG